GCAAUACUUCCACAUAUCAUAGGCUGUCAACAAGAUUCAUCAAAUGCAUGACAUUGAUACUGAAUGUCAAGGCAGAGUCUGAACAUUGUGCAGCAAUAGUUGUACUGUACAGAGCUAAUCCACAGAAUAUGGUGGGUUCCUUGGUAGUGCUGAAACAGGCUGUGUGGAACAGAGCAAAGGCUCAAGAAAUAUUGAUGGAAG
rnacentral:lncRNA from 1 species